CCUACGGGUGGCAGCAGUGGGGAAUAUUGGACAAUGGGGGGAACCCUGAUCCAGCCAUGCCGCGUGUGUGAAGAAGGCCCUCGGGUUGUAAAGCACUUUCAGUGAGGAAGAACGCCUGGUGGUUAAUACCCAUCAGGAAAGACAUCACUCACAGAAGAAGCACCGGCUAACUCCGUGCCAGCAGCCGCGGUAAUACGGAGGGUGCGAGCGUUAAUCGGAAUUACUGGGCGUAAAGCGCGCGUAGGUGGCUUGAUAAGCCGGUUGUGAAAGCCCCGGGCUCAACCUGGGAACGGCAUCCGGAACUGUCAAGCUAGAGUGCAGGAGAGGAAGGUAGAAUUCCCGGUGUAGCGGUGAAAUGCGUAGAGAUCGGGAGGAAUACCAGUGGCGAAGGCGGCCUUCUGGACUGACACUGACACUGAGGUGCGAAAGCGUGGGUAGCAAACAGGAUUAGAUAUCCUUGUAGUC
rnacentral:rRNA from 1 species